ACUAAGGUGGCAGAAGAUAAGUGCUAUAAUUUUAAGAGUUAUAUAUGAAAUUUUAUUUCUCUUAGUA
rnacentral:tRNA from 1 species